UACGUAGGGCGCAAGCGUUGUCCGGAAUUAUUGGGCGUAAAGAGCUCGUAGGCGGUUUGUCGCGUCUGCUGUGAAAACCUAAGGCUCAACCUUGGGCUUGCAGUGGGUACGGGCAGACUAGAGUGCGGUAGGGGUGACUGGAAUUCCUGGUGUAGCGGUGGAAUGCGUAGAGAUCCGGAGGAACACCAGCGGCGAAGGCGGCGUCCUGGACUGGGCCUGACGCUCAGGAGCGAAAGCGUGGGGAGCGAUCCGG
rnacentral:rRNA from 1 species